GAAUUCACUAGUGAUUCAGCCUAACACAUGCAAGUCGAGCGGUAGAGAGAAGCUUGCUUCUCUUGAGAGCGGCGGACGGGUGAGUAAUGCCUAGGAAUCUGCCUGGUAGUGGGGGAUAACGUUCGGAAACGAACGCUAAUACCGCAUACGUCCUACGGGAGAAAGCAGGGGACCUUCGGGCCUUGCGCUAUCAGAUGAGCCUAGGUCGGAUUAGCUAGUUGGUGAGGUAAUGGCUCACCAAGGCGACGAUCCGUAACUGGUCUGAGAGGAUGAUCAGUCACACUGGAACUGAGACACGGUCCAGACUCCUACGGGAGGCAGCAGUGGGGAAUAUUGGACAAUGGGCGAAAGCCUGAUCCAGCCAAGGCGCGUGUGUGAAGAAGGUCUUCGGA
rnacentral:rRNA from 1 species